rnacentral:rRNA from 1 species
CCUACGGGCGGCUGCAGUGAGGAAUAUUGGUCAAUGGACGAGAGCCUGAACCAGCCAAGUAGCGUGAAGGAUGACUGCCCUAUGGGUUGUAAACUUCUUUUAUAUGGGAAUAAAAUGUUCCACGUGUGGGCUUUUGUAUGUACCAUAUGAAUAAGGAUCGGCUAACCCCGUGCCAGCAGCCGCGGUAAUACGGAGGAUCCGAGCGUUUUCCGGAUUUAUUGGGUUUAAAGGGAUCGUAGGGGGUUUGAUAAGUCAGUUGUUAAAGUUUGCGGGUCAACCGUAAAAUUGCAGUUGAAACUGGCAGUCUUGAGUACAGUAGAGGUGGGCGGAAUUCGUGGUGUAGCGGUGAAAUGCUUAGAUAUCACGAAGAACUCCGAUUGCGAAGGCAGCUCACUGGACUGCAACUGACACUGAGGCUCGAAAGUGUGGGUAUCGAACAGGAUUAGAUACCCGGGUAGUC